GGUAAAAUGGCCAUGUACGUAUUAGAUUGUAAAUCUAACAACAGAGGCUAAGUCCUCUUUUUACCA
rnacentral:tRNA from 1 species